UAACAGCCAACAUGCAUUCUUCUAUUAUAAACGUAUACAACCCCCUUAAACACUAAUCAUUCUAUCCAUCACACCAGUCGCCCUUACUCCUUUUCUCUCAUCUCUCUCGUCCUCUCACACCUCUAUAAGCCUCUGAAAAUAUAGCACUAAUUUGUGCAAGGUCACUCUUACACUAUUGUGAGACCUCAUUCAUCACUCAAUGGCCUAGAAUUUUGCCAAAACAAUUCCUCUUUCUAUCAUCUCCCUUCAUAUCCCAAAUUCUGAAACCCUGGCCCCAAAAAUGGAAGUCUAGAAUCUUAUCAUCACAUCCCCUAAUGAAAUUAUCAGGCCUUCUUUACCAUAUUCCCUCAUUUGAAUCCUCCAUUAAAGCCUUGAAUGCACCUCCAAUUAGAAUCAUAUUCGUAGGAAUCUCCAACCUCAGCAUGACCUCUGAGGAUCUAGAGGUCAAAUACAAGAACCUCUAGGUAAAAGUUGUAUCCGGAUGACAAAAAGGCUUCAACAUCUAGUUCUUCAUCAAUUUGAGAGGGAAAAAUCUCCACCGUUUCCCUCUAAUUUUUUGUUCCUCUGGUUUCUUUAUGUAUAUCGUCAAUGUUUCGUCAUUGUUUCUUGUCUUCUAUUUUUUGAAUCAGAAAAUUCAAAAUCUCAAACUCUAAAACCUCAAUUAUUUGGCUAUAAAUACCGGACUUUAAUGCCCUUGCCAACCACGAAUCAAUAGAGUAAAUGCACUUGAAUAAAGAGUAUUAAAAUAUCUAUCGAUUUACUCACGGUCUUUUCUUCUUUACUUUCAUUCAUUACUAAUCAAGUUUAUUUGUUCCUGAGCCGCCUCCGAGUACAAAUUCUUAAAGGCUAAAGUUAAAAACUUGGUUUUCUGCCAUAAGGAAGGUCAAUGUGUUUUCAUUCUAUUUUGUUUCAAUGUCUGAAUUGUGUGCAUAUUAAAUGAGUCUGAAGAACCUCAUGUUUGAUUGAAAUAAUGUAUAUUAACUAAUCUUGCAUGUUAACAGUUUAUUUCAUCAGCUAUGUUUGGUUGUAAAAGCAUGUUGUAGAUUUUGUCUGUUUUGCAUGUUAGAUAUCCUAGUUUUAAACAAUGCAUGCUUGUUAGUUUGAACUACUGCUGAUCUAAGUUGUUUGUUUCUCUGUUAGCUUUAACUACAAGUGCCACUCUCAAUUACCAUGAUACUGCCUUAUUGUUAUAUAUACCAUGCCCAUAAGGUUUUACUUGUUUAAAAUUAAAGAUAAUGUGAUCAUCUCAUCCUGCUUGAUAUCUUUUAUUCUUCUCUGUUAGCAUGACUCUUGUGAAAUUAAUUCUAAGCCUGCACGCAUUUAGUUUUGACUAUUGAACAUCUUGUGAAGCCUGAACAUGAGUCAUUCUUCCUGAUCAAUGUGUUUGGAUAUUUUGAGUGACUAUCUUAGCUUGAACCUAGAUUCACCUAGUCUCUAGUUCUUUUUCUAAUGAGUUGAUCACUAAAUGUGAAGACCAUGUAUAUAUAAUGAGAGUUGUUAUGUUGAUUCAUUUGUCUUGACCUUAACAGAAUAUCUGGCUACUAUUGGACUUUAAUGAAUGAAAGCCUGGUUAUGUAUUUACUGAUUAAGGAAGAAACCUCCAACUGGAGCCUUUGUAUAAUGAUUCUGUUUAAGUGUGUGAUAAAUUGGCUUAGAUUGGUGUUCACAUUCAUGUGUAGUAAGAAUGUCUAUAGGGAUAAGUUAUAUGAUGAAUUACUUGUGAAAGUCACAAUUGCUCAGUCAUGUUUUUGAAGAAGAAAUUAUUUGUGUAUGAAUGGUUGUUGAUCAGAUUCUGGAUUCUAGGAUUCAUUAAAGAAUUCCUGAGGUCCACGUGGCUAUAUAUGAUAUACUGUUCUAUAUGAUGUGCCUUUAAUAGUUAUUAGUUUACUCAGAAUAGAAAUCGGAAUCAUGUCUAGCAUUCUGUUGGUUUAUGUCAUAUUGCCUAAAUUAGUGCUUCAAUCAUAAGUAAUGUUGUAUUGACAUGAUCUAGUAUAUCACCAUGAGUUGUCUGUGUUUUUCUUAAUUGAAUUUCUUCGAAUGUUAUCAUGAUAAUAUGAUUUGAGCCACUAUCUUGGACUCUCUCUGCCAAACAACUUACUAGUGAUAAAUGUUUGAGUUCACUUGACCGGUUUGUUGUUAGGCCUAAGUCAACCAUAUUUUUGACCAAACCUCUAUAGAGGAACAAAUACUAAUAGUUGUUGGUGUUUGCAGUGGAGCUAACAUCAUCACAAGGGUCCUUCCCUGGUACAAGCACUGCUCGAGACCCUAGACCCUUCAGACCAUGUGAACUCUAAAGUGCCAGGAGGGUCAAAUGAAAUCCUUCUGAGAGGGGUAUGGACCACUCUAGUCAAUGGCUAUGGACUUUAAUUAAUCUUUCGAGGAUUAUCAUAAAUAAAAUUUGACUGCCUUUAUUUGUUACAACUAUGUUUAUUUCUUAUAUUUUUGCCUUUACCUUUAUGUGCAAAUGCUAAUUAAAUUUCCCUUCUUCUUUUGCAUGAGUACGUUGAGCUAGUAAAGUUCACUGUGAACUCUUUCCCAAGUUCAACAAAACUAGGCCGCCAUUCUCCUCGUUGCAUUGCUAUCGCUGAAGCCUGUUGCUGAUUGAUUUAAAUAGGCCUGAUGCUUGUCGGUCCAUUAUAAGAGUCUAGUUCCUCCCCUCCCUUUACUUUAUAUCAUGCCGAUGUUAGCCCAUUUAUGUAUAUAUUAUAUUAUGAAACUAACACUGCUAUUAUAUGUUCUUAUCUUUACUAUGAUUGUUUUAGAAAAUGAUCUUAGUAUAAGCUAAUCCUGUAGGGAAAGGGUAGACGUAAUUAAGAUAGUUUUUCCACUUUAUAAGGCUAACAAUCUUCAAAACCUGACUAUGUAUCAACUGUUUUAUCAAGUAUGUUUUAUUUUACUACUUGUUUUCCUCUAAUGAUUUUGGCAGAAGCAUUUGCAGAAUUGAAUCAAGAUAAGCUUAAAUAAUCUUUUAAAAGAAUCUUCCAUCGAUCACUUAGGCAAACUCGAAAAC
rnacentral:lncRNA from 1 species